ACUCAAAUGAAUUGACGGGGGCCCGCACAAGCGGUGGAUUAUGUGGUUUAAUUCGAUGAUACGCGAGGAACCUUACCAAGGCUUAAAUGGGAAUUGACAGGUUUAGAAAUAGACUUUUCUUCGGACAAUUUUCAAGGUGCUGCAUGGUUGUCGUCAGCUCGUGCCGUGAGGUGUUAGGUUAAGUCCUGCAACGAGCGCAACCCCUGUCACUAGUUGCCAUCAUUCAGUUGGGGACUCUAGUGAGACUGCCUACGCAAGUAGAGAGGAAGGUGGGGAUGACGUCAAAUCAUCACGGCCCUUACGCCUUGGGCCACACACGUAAUACAAUGGCCAGUACAGAGGGCAGCUACCAGGCGACUGGAUGCGAAUCUCGAAAGCUGGUCUCAGUUCGGAUUGGAGUCUGCAACUCGACUCUAUGAAGCUGGAAUCGCUAGUAAUCGCAUAUCAGCCAUGAUGCGGUGAAUACGUUCCCGGGCCUUGUACACACCGCCCGU
rnacentral:rRNA from 1 species